GACGAACGCUGGCGGCGUGCUUAACACAUGCAAGUCGAACGGUAAGGCCCUUCGGGGUACACGAGUGGCGAACGGGUGAGUAACACGUGGGUGAUCUGCCCUGCACUUCGGGAUAAGCCUGGGAAACUGGGUCUAAUACCGGAUAGGACCACUGCCUGCAUGGGUGGUGGUGGAAAGCUUUUGCGGUGUGGGAUGGGCCCGCGGCCUAUCAGCUUGUUGGUGGGGUGAUGGCCUACCAAGGCGACGACGGGUAGCGGGCCUGGGAGGGUGACCGGCCACACUGGGACGGAGAUACGGCCCAGACUCCUACGGGAGGCAGCAGUGGGGAAUAUUGCACAAUGGGCGCAAGCCUGAUGCAGCGACGCCGCGUGAGGGAUGACGGCCUUCGGGUUGUAAACCUCUUUCAGUAGGGACGAAGCGCAAGUGACGGUGCCUACAGAAGAAGGACCGGCCAACUACGUGCCAGCCGCCGCCGUAA
rnacentral:rRNA from 1 species